rnacentral:lncRNA from 1 species
AUGAGUCAUAAGCAGGGGGUUUUGCUCUUCAGUUGUAGCUGGGCCUCUGAGAAGGAGCCGGGAACUUCAGAGCCUUCUUUUGCAAAGGCUUUCACAGCACAGGGAAGGGGCUUUGCCAGGACAGAAGCGUUGAGGAGGGUCACUGUGCAGAUUUCUCAACUUGAACAGGAGAAAGCCUGGCCUCAAACCCUCACCGUGCAGGCAGGGAAAUGGGCUCUGGCUGCAAGAAAUCCUGGAGCACGGGAAACGUGUCCUUUUGGCUAUCAGGAUGGGCAGCCCUGUCACUGCCCAGGGUGUAAAACAGCUUUUGGGCAUUGCUCCCUGGUCCUGCUGGCUGGAUCCAUGGGGAAAAGGGACUGCUAGGGCAGCUGGGGAGAAAUGAGAGACUGCAGCUCGGAUAAGGUGCCAGUUCCUCAGUGUGCUAGCCUGAAUACCUAUUUAUGUGAGCAUAUGUCAUUGCACAAGCAUUUCUUUCUGUAUCAGAAUAAGAAAUUCAGUUUUAGAUUAAAGGUAAAGCAAAAGUGUUUCCUGGGCUCUGAUUUGAGCUUCUGGGCUCCUCCCUCAGCAUCUGCUGAUAGGGGUAAGCCCUAAAACACAGAAUGAGCCACUUUUCUUUAGCUGUCGCAUUACCAACACAACGACUAGGUCUCUGACAGCUGCACAGCACACGGAAAAUAUGGCAUUUUAAAAGGUUUCUUUACGAAGCCAAAGCUUCACUUUAUAUUGGAGUAAACCUGGCAUAGCAUCGCUGCCUGCCUGUCACUGCUUGCCUGCCCAUAGCUAAGGGCAGGCUUUGCUCCAUGCCCUGGAAAGAUUCGGGUUUCAAAUUAAUUUGUGCCUUUAUGAAAAGAACAACAGCUCACAAAUAUUCUGGGCCAAACUUGAGAUGAUUGCCUGAUGAGAUAAUAAGCUGCUAGUGCUCUAACCUGACAGCAUCACUACAUUGUUAUGUUCCCGAACAAUACUGCAUUGUGGAAACAAAACACACGGGCUGUUAUCCGUCAGCCAGCAGUGCGGGAAUAAAGUUAUUUAACUCUCAGAAGCA